AUCCAUCUGACGAGUCCCAAAUAUGACGAAACGCGUGUCCUGGAU
rnacentral:hammerhead_ribozyme from 1 species